rnacentral:rRNA from 1 species
AUUGAACGCUGGCGGCAGGCCUAACACAUGCAAGUCGAGCGAGCGGCGGACGGGUGAGUAAUGUCUGGGGAACUGCCUGAUGGCGGGGGAUAACUACUGGAAACGGUAGCUAAUACCGCAUACCAUCAGAUGUACCCAUAUGGGAUUAGCUAGUAGGUGGGGUAACGGCUCACCUAGUCGACGAUCCCUAGCUGGUCUGAGAGGAUGACCAGCCACACUGGAACUGAGACACGGUCCAGACUCCUACGUGAGGCAGCAGUGGGGAAUAUUGCACAAUGGGCGCAAGCCUGAUGCAGCCAUGCCGCGUGUAUGAAGAAGGCCUUCGGGUUGUAAAGUACUUUCAGCGGGGAGGCGUUACCGGCAGAAGAAGCACCGGCUAACUCCGUGCCAGCAGCCGCGGUAAUUC